rnacentral:lncRNA from 1 species
GUCUCACUAGCUCCCACCGACUUUGCACAACAGCCCUUCCGCGUCGCCGGGGCGACUGGGGUGGCGAGGCGCCAAGCUGCAGCCGGGGUUCACAGCACCCGACCCCUUCCUCCGCAUCUUCCUCGCCAGUUCCGUUCUCCCCUAGAUCCUGGCGACCCCGAGCCUCCUAGGUCCCGCCACAGCGACCACCCGGACUCACCGCGGGCGUCGCGCCGCCGCUGGGUCUGCGCGCUCCGAGGCGGAGCCUGGGCGCCCUCCCGCGUGAGAGCCGCCUCCUGCGCCCGCCCGCCCGCGGCCCCCGCCCGGCUCCUGCCAGCCCCUCCGCCAGCCAGCGCUGCCGGGACGGUCGGGACUUACCUCCCGGACAAGGUGACCCAGCCAGUGCGCCCAGGAGCCCGCCCGCGCGUCUCCGGAGCCAGUGAGCGUGCGGGUCGCGGGGCGGUGCGGCGCCCGCCUCUGCUCCUCAGCUCCCCAGCUCUCUCCUCCUCUGCCCUCCUCUUCUUUCCCUUCCCCUCCCCUCCGCGACGCUCCCCGCCCUGCACUCGCCACCCGCGCCCCAGGCUGCCCCGAGCGUGCAGUAGCGCCGGGCUAGGGGCAGCGGCGGCAGCCCGGGGCUGCGGGGAGCUCGCUCGAGGCGACGAUGGGGCGGAGCCCGGCGCUCCAGCCCCCGGGGGGGGGGGAAGGUGCGGGGAGACUCCCGCGGCGCACGCCUGGCGGGCUGGUUGGGCAAGGGCCGUCCCGGGACGCGCCGCUUGGUUGACCAAGCCUGGCGACACGCGUGCUUGGAGGAGGUGGCCACGGGCUCCGAGGGAGAAUGAGCGAGGAGGAGAAGGGAAUGGCUCGGUGAGAAGGCGGCCACCAACUUUGCCCCAGGCCUAUCGGGCCCCGCGGGUGACCACGUCAGGCUGUUGGCCUGGGGCCGCUGUCUGGGACUGUGAAGGCGACAGAGACUGGGGGAGGGGAGCAGACGCUGGGUACUCAGUGGACAGGGAUUUGCAGCCUGGCUCUGAGAUGGUUCCCCUCGGUCCUAAAGGCCUCCCCAGGCUCUUGUUCGUUUUCAGGUUCGUAGGACCCACUUUAUAG